rnacentral:rRNA from 1 species
AAUGAACGUUGGCGGCAUGGAUUAGGCAUGCAAGUCGAGCGAGAAGAGUUUUGAAGCUUGCUUUAGAACUCGGACAGCGGCGAAAGGGAGAGUAACGCGUAGUUAUGUGCCCUAGGGUCCGGAAUAGCCACGGGAAACUGUGGGUAAUGCCGGAUAAUAUCCCCGGAUCAAAGGUGUGAUUCCGCCCUAGGAGCAGACUGCGUCCUACUAGCUAGUUGGUGGGGUAAUGGCCCACCAAGGCAAUGAUGGGUAGCGGGUGUGAGAGCAUGACCCGUCUCACUGGGACUGAGACACUGCCCAGACACCUACGGGUGGCUGCAGUCGAGAAUCUUCGGCAAUGGGCGAAAGCCUGACCGAGCGAUGCCGCGUGCGGGAUGAAGGCCCUCGGGUUGUAAACCGCUGUCGUAGGGGAGGAAGGUUCCGUGAAGAGCGGGACUUGACCUAUCCUAGGAGGAAGUACGGGCUAAGUUCGUGCCAGCCGCCGCAGUAACAC